GAUAAAGAAAAAAGGCUUUGAUCAGGAGGUUUGGGGGAGGGGAGGAGGAAUUAGGAACAUCUUAUUGGUGAAGCCAAAAUCUAUAUGGAUAAAGUAUGUAAGUGUAUAUUAAAAAAAACGAAACAAAACUUGAUUCCUUCUUCUCAGGCCUGCCUCAUUAGAUGACCUUCGGUAUUGGAAGAGAUGGUCUCAACCUAGGGAGACUUGUCCAAGAUCACAUAGGUAUUGAAUGUCAAAGGGGCAGAUGACCUCCCUCCACGGCCUGAAUUAAAAGACACAGUGUGUCAGAGUAGACAGAAUGCUGGCAACUUGGGAGUCAAAAAGACCUGGAUUCGAAUCCUAUCUUGGACAUUUACUGUCUAGGAGAUCGUGGUCAAGGUAACCUGUCAAGGGGCCUCACUUUUCUCAUCUGUAAAACGGGCACAAUAAUCCUUGCCCAAUUCUCCUCUCCCAGGGCUGCUGGGAGUGAGCUUCUGCCACUGUGCGGUCAAGUGAGAUCAUAGCUUUAGAGCUGGAAGGAAGCUUUAAGGUUGUUUAGCUCAACCCUCUCAUUUUACAGAUGAG